rnacentral:misc_RNA from 1 species
UACGAACUGCGCAAACGUUGUUCGGAAUUACUGGGCGUAAAGCGUGCGCAGGCGGUUGUGCAAGACAGAUGUGAAAUCCCCGGGCUUAACCUGGGAACUGCAUUUGUGACUGCACGGCUAGAGUGUGUCAGAGGGGGGUAGAAUUCCACGUGUAGCAGUGAAAUGCGUAGAUAUGUGGAGGAAUACCGAUGGCGAAGGCAGCCCCCUGGGAUAACACUGACGCUCAUGCACGAAAGCGUGGGGAGCAAACAGG